rnacentral:rRNA from 1 species
UACAGAGGGUGCAAGCGUUAAUCGGAAUUACUGGGCGUAAAGCGUGCGUAGACGGUUAUUUAAGUCAGGUGUGAAAGCCCCGGGCUCAACCUGGGAAUUGCAUUUGAGACUGAAUAGCUAGGGUGCGGAAGAGGGAAGCGGAAUUUCCGGUGUAGCGGUGAAAUGCGUGGAUAUCGGAAGGAACACCAGUGGCGAAAGCGGCUUCCUGGUCCAGCACCGACGUUCAGGCACGAAAGCGUGGGGAGCAAACAGG